UCCAAUGAAACAUUUAUUAUGUAUUAAUUUUAGGGGUUAAAUAAAGAAGUUUUCUCUUUGGG
rnacentral:tRNA from 1 species